CAGUCGCCGCGGUAAUACGAAGGGGGCUAGCGUUACUCGGAAUUACUGGGCGUAAAGGGCGCGUAGGCGGCACGAUUAGUCAGGCGUGAAAUUCCUGGGCUCAACCUGGGGACUGCGCUUGAUACGGUCGAGCUAGAGGAUGGAAGAGGGUUGUGGAAUUCCCAGUGUAGAGGUGAAAUUCGUAGAUAUUGGGAAGAACACCGGUGGCGAAGGCGGCAACCUGGUCCAUUACUGACGCUGAGGCGCGACAGCGUGGGGAGCAAACAGGAUUAGAGACCCCAGUAGUCCCUGUCUCUUAUAC
rnacentral:rRNA from 1 species